GCGGUGUGUGCCUAAACCUGGUGAUGGGGCUAGCAUUGCUAGCGUAGGCAGGUUCAAUUCCUGUCCACCGCA
rnacentral:tRNA from 1 species